GACGAACGCUGGCGGCGUGCUUAACACAUGCAAGUCGAACGCUGAAGCUCAGCUUUUGUCGGGUGGAUGAGUGGCGAACGGGUGAGUAACACGUGAGUAACCUGCCUCCUUCUUUGGGAUAACGCCCGGAAACGGGUUCUAAUACAGGAUAUACACUGGUCUUCGCAUGGGGGUCGGUGGAAAGGGUGUUUCUGGUGGGGGAUGGGGUCGCGGCCUAUCGGCUGGUUGGGGGGGUGAUAGCCGACCAGGUCUUUGACGGGUGGCCGGACUGAGAGGCUGACCGGGCACAUUGAGACGGAGAAACGGCCCAGGCUCGGACGGGAGGCAGCAGUGGGGACAAUUGCACAAAGCGCGCUAGCGUGAUGCAGCGACGCCGCGUGAGGGAUGGGGGCCUUAGAGUUGUGAACCUCUUACGCUAAUGGUCAAGCCGCAACAAUGGUUGUGGUGAGGGUAGUGGGUAAAGAAGCGCCGGCUAACUACGUG
rnacentral:rRNA from 1 species